rnacentral:rRNA from 1 species
GAUGAACGCUGGCGGCGUGCUUAAUACGUGCCAGUCGAACGGAAAGGCCCUGCUUUUGUGGGGUGCUCGAGUGGCGCACGGGUGAGUAACACGUGAGUAACCUGCCCUUGACUUUGGGAUAACUUCAGGAAACUCGGGCUAAUACCGGAUAGGAGCUCCUGCUGCAUGGUGGGGGUUGGAAAGUUUCGGCGGUUGGGGAUGGACUCGCGGCUUAUCAGCUUGAUGGUGGGGUAGUGGCUUACCAAGGCUUUGACGGGUAGCCGGCCUGAGAGGGCGACCGGCCACAAUAGGACUAAGGGACGGACCAGACGCCAACGGGAGGCAACGGUGGGAAGUAUGGCGCAAUAGGCGGACGCCUGAUGCAGCGGCGCCGCGUGCGGAAUGACGGCUUUCGGGUUAUAAACAGCUUUCGCCUGUGACGAGGCCUGUGUGACGGUAAUGGAUAAGAAAGCAACGGCUAACUACGUG